rnacentral:rRNA from 1 species
UACGUAGGUGGCAAGCGAUACUCGGAAUCACUAGGCGUAAAGCGCAGGUAGGAGGUUUAGAAAGUCUCUUGUGAAAGCUCCCGGCUUAACUGGGAGAGGUCAAGGGAAACUACUAGGCUAGAGUGCGGUAGAGGUAGCUGGAAUUCCCGGUGUAGCGGUGAAAUGCGUAGAUAUCGGGAGGAAUACCUAUGGCGAAAGCAGGCUACUGGACCGUCACUGACUCUGAUCUGCGAAAGCUAGGGGAGCAAACAGG